GACGAACGCUGGCGGCGCGCCUAACACAUGCAAGUCGAACGAGCGAGAGGAGGUUUACUUUCUCAAGCGAGUGGCGAACGGGUGAGUAACGCGUGAGGAACCUGCCUCAAAGAGGGGGACAACAGUUGGAAACGACUGCUAAUACCGCAUAAGCCCACGACCCGGCAUCGGGGGGAGGGAAAAGGAGCGAUCCGCUUUGAGAUGGCCUCGCGUCCGAUUAGCUAGGUGGUGAGGUGAUGGCCCACCAAGGCGACGAUCGGUAGCCGGACGGGGAGGUGGAACGGCUGCAAUGGGAAUGAGACACGGCCCAGUCUCGGACGGGAGGCAGCAGUGGGGAAUAUUACGCAAGGAGGCAAACCCUGAUGCAGCGGCGCGGCGGAGAGGAAGCAGCUGUUCGUAUUGUAAACUCCUGUUGUUGGGGAAGAGAAUGACGGUACUCAAUAAGGAAGUGACGGCUAACUACGUG
rnacentral:rRNA from 1 species